CACGACUCUCGGCAACGGAUAUCUCGGCUCUCGCAUCGAUGAAGAACGUAGCAAAAUGCGAUACCUGGUGUGAAUUGCAGAAUCCCGUGAACCAUCGAGUUUUUGAACGCAAGUUGCGCCCGAGGCCUUCUGGCUGAGGGCACGCCUGCCUGGGCGUCACG
rnacentral:rRNA from 1 species